GAUGAAGAACGUAGCGAAAUGCGAUAGGUAAUGUGAAUUGCAGAAUUCAGUGAAUCAUCGAAUCUUUGAACGCAUAUUGCGCUCUCUGGUAUUCCGGAGAGCAUGCUUGUUUGAGUAUCAGUAAACACCUCAACUUCCAUAUCUUUUUUGAAAUGGGAGUUGGACUUGAGUGAUCCCAACGCUUUUCCUCACCGAAAAGUGGCGGGUUACUUGAAAUGCAGGUGCAGCUGGACUUUUCUCUGAGCUAUAAGCAUAUCUAUUUAGUCUGCCUAAAAAACAGAUUAUUACCUUUGCUGCAGCUAACAUAAAGGAGAUUAGUUCUUGUGCUGACUGAUGCAGGAUUCACAAAGACAGCUUCGGCCGACUUUGUAAACUCGAUCUCAAAUCAAGUAAGACUACCCGCUGAACUUAAGCAUAUCAAUAAGCGGAGGA
rnacentral:misc_RNA from 1 species